rnacentral:rRNA from 1 species
CCUACGGGAGGCUGCAGUGAGGAAUAUUGGUCAAUGGACGAGAGUCUGAACCAGCCAAGUAGCGUGAAGGAUGACUGCCCUAUGGGUUGUAAACUUCUUUUAUAUGGGAAUAAAAUGUUCCACGUGUGGGAUUUUGUAUGUACCAUAUGAAUAAGGAUCGGCUAACUCCGUGCCAGCAGCCGCGGUAAUACGGAGGAUCCGAGCGCUAUCCGGAUUUAUUGGGUUUAAAGGGAGCGUAGGUGGAUUGUUAAGUCAGUUGUGAAAGUUUGCGGCUCAACCGUAAAAUUGCAGUUGAAACUGGCAGUCUUGAGUACAGUAGAGGUGGGCGGAAUUCGUGGUGUAGCGGUGAAAUGCUUAGAUAUCACGAAGAACUCCGAUUGCGAAGGCAGUUCACUGGACUGCAACUGACACUGAGGCUCGAAAGUGUGGGUAUCAAACAGGAUUAGAUACCCGUGUAGUC